AGUGAACGCUGGCGGUAGGCCUAACACAUGCAAGUCGAACGGCAGCACAGUAAGAGCUUGCUCUUACGGGUGGCGAGUGGCGGACGGGUGAGGAAUACAUCGGAAUCUACUUUUUCGUGGGGGCUAACGCAGGGAAACUUACGCUAAUACCGCAUACGACCUACGGGUGAAAGCAGGGGAUCUUCGGACCUUGCGCGAUUGAAUGAGCCGAUGUCGGAUUAGCUAGUUGGCGGGGUAAAGGCACAACAAGGCGACGAUCCGUAGCUGGUCUGAGAGGAUGAUCAGCCACACUGGAACUGAGACACGGUCCAGACUCCUACGGGAGGCAGCAGUGGGGAAUAUUGGACAAUGGGCGAAAGCCUGAUCCAGCCAUACCGCGUGGGUGAAGAAGGUCUUCGGGUUGUAAAGCCCUUUUGUUGGGAAGGAAGAGCAGCAGGUUAAUACCCCGCUGUUCUGACGGUACCCAAAGAAUAAGCACCGGCUAACUUCGUG
rnacentral:rRNA from 1 species